AUGAAGUUUGACUUUCCACAGUUUUAUCUGCUGGUCCCAGGAGCGGCGGCUGUAUUUCUUAAAUUUGUUGGGAGUUCGUGGAUGAAGCCCUGGUUUUCUCAAGUGCCUGGACUCAGAAGUGAAAGAAUUAAAGACCGGACGGUCUCGUCAGUCUCGAUGUCCCCGGGUACAGGAGAAUCUCUGGAGUCUCUGUGCUAAAUUGCAGAAAGCCGAUCCCGACCUGGACUCCGCCCCACCAUGACGCCCACAGCCAGUAAGGAGGGAGGAACCUGCAGUUUCAGAGACACCUCCUCACAAUGAAGCAGCCCAGGCUAUGCCACUCUAUCCGAACCUGUCAGAACUGAGCCACCAACCCCCACCGAACUAUGCUCCAGCCGUCCUAGCUUCACCGGUGGCGUUACACACGAGAUCCCAAGUGAAGGGACCAAAAACAUUGCUGCCUGAAGGCUUCAGACCAACAAAAUCAGACAGAGAAGGGACAGUGCACGCUGUGGUAAAUGCCCCAAUGCUAGAUGUGGCCACAGAGAAGGAGGCCCUAUGCUAGUUCACAGACCCUGGACAUUGGAAGACAUCAGGAGCAGCAUGACGCAUCUGCUGGCGCUCCGCGAAGUAGGAAGACGAAAGUUUGGGGAUGAACUUCAGAUAUUCUGCAGAUAAUUCAGACCCACCACUCAUGAACUACGACGACUGCUCGUGGCAAAACUUGUUACGGACUGGGUCAAGGUUUCACGUGAAUUCCCAGAGAACAAUGUCUGCCUGAUCAACCCACAAUGGGAUGAUGGAGUCAACGCAAGGUACAGAGCACAAAUCAUGGCGUUCCAGCAGAGGCUGACGAACAGAGGCUGUCCUUAACCCUGCUACUCUUCUUCCAACAGAGGGAGACGGGAAACCACAUGAUUGUGUCGUACUGACUAACAAACUCUGCUCUCCUAGAGUCGACCUGAAAGAUGUUCUAUUGGAAAAUUCGGAUCCGAUCCUCUUUGUGGACGGGUCAGCGUCACGUGACCCAGAGACAGGUAAAAAUCGAGUGGGCUAUGCAGAAGUGACCGCAUACGAGACGGUCUGUCAGGAAGUCUCCCCUCAAACCUUUCAGCACAAGCAGCUGAACUGUAUGCCAUCAUAGAGGCAUGAAGACAUGCUGAGGGACAGUCAGUAAAUAUCUACACAGACAGUAGAUAUGCCUUUGAGGUAGUACAUGAUUUGGGACAAUGGGAACUUCCUGACGAGUUCAGGAACACACACGGCCCACCACAAAAUAGUCUCUGAGCUGCUGGACACAGCCCUACUCCCCAAAACUAUUGCAGUAUGCAAAUGUGAUGGACACACUAACAAAUUAGACCAUGUUUUCCUAGGGAACGCUCGAGUAAACAGUGCAGCAGAAAGAGUGCAUGAUGCACACACUUUUACACAAAUUUGGUAUUUGCUGACCAUGGUGACGGGACUACGGUGCCUAAGGUGAAGUGAUUUCUAUAGGUCCCACAUAAGCCCGCAAAGUUCUUUAUUGGACUAUUGCUGCAGAUUGGACGACAAUUAGUAGUUAAAAAGCCUGUAUGCCAAGAUAUUUGCUGCCGCUGUAAACCGUUCUGUAUCGCCUUUUGUCAGAAGAAUCAUUUCCAACAGUGCUACCCACUCAACGUCACACGUCCCCUCGUCACAUAAUGAUAAUUCUAUCAUUGAACACAUGCGGUCUGCGAUACGCAACCCUCCACAGACUAGCGAGAUGGAGUUUGAUUGGCUGAACUCAGUAUCCGGGGGAUGGGGCUCAUGGAUAUUAACCGUCUGUCUACCAAUAGGUGCAAUAAUUCUUCUCGUCUUGCUCAUUUUGCCUUGUAUUGUUUCUCUCGUUCGGAGCAGUCUCUCACGCUCGUUGAAAUCACUAAUGACCAAAUGCUGAUGUUGACAAAGACUGAGUAUGAUCCCUGUGAUGACCAACCUGACUGGGUAUCAGAUUCUCCCAGCAACACUUGACGAUGACGACCCAUUGACAUCCAUUUCACACCUAUUGUAAAUAUUCCUUUGACAAUGAUGAUCCUCAUUUCACCCUAAACGAGCUUUCUUGACCACAGGAUACUUUAUAUCCGCAAAAACAGCCUUAGCGCUUUCAUUAUUAUCUGUAUCAUGUUAAAUUCAGUUGAACCGUGAAACGAUUCUGAAGUCCUGAUGUAUUCACAGCACUGUAAUUUCUGUUCAUUUUAGUUAUCAUAUUUUGUAAUGACAAAAUGGGGGAAAUUACUCAUUUUUACUUUGGAAUAAGUUUGUUCUUGUUCUGUUUCAUUCUCAUCAGGGGAUAACACCGAAGAAGGCCAUGUCAUGUCACUGAGAUCAGUACAGAAUGUUUAUCUGCUUACAGAGACACAAACAUAUUCUUCUAUUCAAGGUUCGUCUAAACAUCUUCCAAGAUCCUGAAACAAAGUCUGUUUGAACUGCCUCAAACUGCUUCUUAUCAGUACACAGAAUUAUGUCAUACUCUGCGUUUCAUAUAUAUAGUAGUGGUUUAGUACAGGGCUUCAGAGCGCUCUCAUUAUUCUAUCCUGCUUUAUUCUAUCCUGUAUUAACCAUCUUUCUGUAAUACACCUUUCUACCUUCAGAGGACUGAUCUGCGAGUGUUAUCUAAUUUCCAUGACAAUGGUCAUCCAUUUUUUUUUUAAACCAAUUGAACAGUUCUGCUAGUUCAAUGUGAUGUUAUUGAGGGUGUAAUGAUGCACAUAAUUUGCUCUUUAGUCACAUUCAUGUGUGCAAUGCACCACUUUACCAUUCUGGCCUGUUCGAUCCUCUUCCAUCUGAAGUGUGGGUCUCAGACUCAUCGCGGGAUCUUCUUACGUUCCCAUCAGCGUCCCGUUUCCUGCAAUGAGACCAUCUUUGUCGUUUGUUCCUGUCAAAAAGUAAAUAAAAUAAAUCAAAUAAGUUGGAUUAAACGGAAGUUAGUUUCAUUGUUAUAUUUGUUGCCACCAAAAAGGCUCAAUUUUGCUGCGAAUUUGCUAUGCAACUUGUGGAGCAGGAUUUCAUGCUUUUUUUGUGGACUUGUGUUUAGCUGUACUCGUGUUCGACACAUCAAAGAGUAUUUCGGCUGAACGUGCAUUGUGAAGGGAUCACAUGACUCUGCCUGGCCCUAAUUUGAAGGAAAUCUGCAGUAAGCUUCUCCGAAAUACUCUGGCGUUUGCUCGAUUUUGCUUUCAUUUCCGUGUCUCGUUACCCAUGACAUCAACCACGACAUUGCUUCUUUUACGAUCGUGUCUAUGUCGGCUGCCGUGCGAUCUCCAGGAUGUGCUGCUCCAGCUCUCAGUCACUCAAUGAACAGAGCAGACGCAGAGAGAGG